GACAGAGGGUGCAAACGUUGUUCGGAAUUACUGGGCGUAAAGCGCGUGUAGGCAGCUCGGAAAGUCGGAUGUGAAAGCCCUGGGCUCAACCUAGGAAGUGCAUUCGAAGCUUCCGAGCUGGAGUGCUGGAGAGGAAGGCGGAAUUCUCGGUGUAGAGGUGAAAUUCGUAGAUAUCGAGAGGAACACCGGUGGCGAAGGCGGCCAACUGGACAGAUACUGACGCUGAGACACGAGAGCGUGGGGAGCAAACAGG
rnacentral:rRNA from 1 species